UAAAAAACCGAAUCGGUACCGAUCCGAAAAUACCGAAAAAUCAAGAACCGAAACCAGUACCAAAUUACCGGUUCGGUACACAAUCGGUACCGAUUUUUUCGAUCCGGUUUUCGGUAAAACCGGUUCAGUUUACCAUUUGUUGUGUUUAUUUGUAAAGACAUCCACCUUUACUAUGAGUGCAUCAUAAAGAUCUACAAGUCAUGAUAAGUUGGUAAACAAGAGAGUAAAAGAGAAUUAUAUAACUACUAAAGUUGGCGUGGGUACAAUCACAAUCAGACAACAUGCAACAUUAGAAAUGUUAGUUAGCUUCCACUGAAUAUGCUCCAUCACCUCCUCCUUAAUGGUAAUCAAAAAUGGCAUAACUUUUGCUGAGAUGCAAAAGAAAUUAUUUGUAACAUCACAAGUAUUGCUCCCAGAGGCAUAUGGAACCUUAGUCAUUUCAACGAAAGGGACUAAGGGAGAAUAAAUGACAAGCUAGUGCCUAGUGCCUUAAAUGAUAAGAUUCAUUGCAUUAUUACAUAUUAAGUGUAGAGAAAUUUUCCUGCAGUUCAAAAUAUUUCAAACUUGGAAUCAGAAGCAGUAGGUCCUUUCCUUGUUGAAUGUUAAUAAAUGUGGACUUGUAAACUGCAGAAUAUGUGAUUGGCAUAUUACAGAUCUACAGAACUGCAGAAUCAGUAGAUCAGAUCUAACGAGUAACGACUAAGAGAGUAAGAGUGCAGAACUACAGAUCUAAGUUCUAACGAGUAACGACUUACCGUCGCCGUCGGCGCUAGUAGUUGGUGGUUCAGUUGGUUGCGACGUUGUUGCGUGCUCGGCGGCCGGCGCUAGCUGAGAUUUAAGAGAAGGCAGGGUACUGAGCUUUAAUGGAGGAAAAGUGGAGAACGGCUGAACAGGUAUUACGGUAGAAGACUGAAGUCUGAAGAAGAAGGGACUAGAAAGAGGAGUGGAGAGCGAAACCGAAAGAGUAAAGUAGGCUAGUAGCUGAAGCCUGAAGCUCUGUAGAAUUAAAAAAGACAGUAAAUAAAGUAUAUUUAAUAGAGUUUCGG
rnacentral:lncRNA from 1 species